UGCAGAAUCCCGUGAACCAUCGAGUAAUUGAACGCAAGUUGCGCCUGAGGCCAGUUGGCUAAGGGCACGUCCGCCUGGGCGUCAAGC
rnacentral:rRNA from 1 species